GGACGUGGCGGGGUGCUUACCUGCAGUCGAACGAUGAAGCCCAGCUUGCUGGGUGGAUUAGUGGCGAACGGGUGAGUAACACGUGAGUAACCUGCCCUUGACUCUGGGAUAAGCCUGGGAAACUGGGUCUAAUACCGGAUAGGAACGUCCACCGCAUGGUGGUUGUUGGAAAGAUUUAUCGGUCAUGGAUGGACUCGCGGCCUAUCAGCUUGUUGGUGAGGUAAUGGCUCACCAAGGCGACGACGGGUAGCCGGCCUGAGAGGGUGACCGGCCACACUGGGACUGAGACACGGCCCAGACUCCUACGGGAGGCAGCAGUGGGGAAUAUUGCACAAUGGGCGAAAGCCUGAUGCAGCGACGCCGCGUGAGGGAGUGACGGCCUUCGGGUUGUAAACCUCUUUCAGUAGGGAAGAAGCGAAAGUGACGGUACCUGCAGAAGAAGCACCGGCUAACUACGUGCCAGCAGCCGCGGUAAUACGUAGGGUGCGAGCGUUAUCCGGAAUUAUUGGGCGUAAAGAGCUCGUAGGCGGUUUGUCGCGUCUGUCGUGAAAGUCCGGGGCUUAACCCCGGAUCUGCGGUGGGUACGGGCAGACUAGAGUGCAGUAGGGGAGACUGGAAUUCCUGGUGUAGCGGUGGAAUGCGCAGAUAUCAGGAGGAACACCGAUGGCGAAGGCAGGUCUCUGGGCUGUAACUGACGCUGAGGAGCGAAAGCAUGGGGAGCGAACAGGAUUAGAUACCCUGGUAGUCCAUGCCGUAAACGUUGGGCACUAGGUGUGGGGACCAUUCCACGGUUUCCGCGCCGCAGCUAACGCAUUAAGUGCCCCGCCUGGGGAGUACGGCCGCAAGGCUAAAACUCAAAGGAAUUGACGGGGGCCCGCACAAGCGGCGGAGCAUGCGGAUUAAUUCGAUGCAACGCGAAGAACCUUACCAAGGCUUGACAUGUUCUCGAUCGCCGUAGAGAUACGGUUUCCCCUUUGGGGCGGGAUCACAGGUGGUGCAUGGUUGUCGUCAGCUCGUGUCGUGAGAUGUUGGGUUAAGUCCCGCAACGAGCGCAACCCUCGUUCCAUGUUGCCAGCACGUAAUGGUGGGGACUCAUGGGAGACUGCCGGGGUCAACUCGGAGGAAGGUGGGGACGACGUCAAAUCAUCAUGCCCCUUAUGUCUUGGGCUUCACGCAUGCUACAAUGGCCGGUACAAUGGGUUGCGAUACUGUGAGGUGGAGCUAAUCCCAAAAAGCCGGUCUCAGUUCGGAUUGGGGUCUGCAACUCGACCCCAUGAAGUCGGAGUCGCUAGUAAUCGCAGAUCAGCAACGCUGCGGUGAAUACGUUCCCGGGCCUUGUACACACCGCCCGUCAAGUCACGAAAGUCGGUAACACCCGAAGCCGGUGGCCUAACCCUUGUGGGGGGAGCCGUCGAAGGGACCUC
rnacentral:rRNA from 1 species